rnacentral:tRNA from 1 species
GAGAGAGGCUCGAUAGCAAUAAUAACUGCUAAUUAUUGUGUCCCCGGUUAAACCCCGGGGCUCACUCG